CCUACGGGAGGCAGCAGUGGGGAAUAUUGGACAAUGGGGGCAACCCUGAUCCAGCCAUGCCGCGUGUGUGAAGAAGGCCCUCGGGUUGUAAAGCACUUUCAGUGAGGAAGAACGCCUGGUGGUUAAUACCCAUCAGGAAAGACAUCACUCACAGAAGAAGCACCGGCUAACUCCGUGCCAGCAGCCGCGGUAAUACGGAGGGUGCGAGCGUUAAUCGGAAUUACUGGGCGUAAAGCGCGCGUAGGUGGCUUGAUAAGCCGGUUGUGAAAGCCCCGGGCUCAACCUGGGAACGGCAUCCGGAACUGUCAAGCUAGAGUGCAGGAGAGGAAGGUAGAAUUCCCGGUGUAGCGGUGAAAUGCGUAGAGGUCGGGAGGAAUACCAGUGGCGAAGGCGGCCUUCUGGACUGACACUGACACUGAGGUGCGAAAGCGUGGGUAGCAAACAGGAUUAGAUACCCCUGUAGUC
rnacentral:rRNA from 1 species